rnacentral:snoRNA from 1 species
CAUGCCCCAGCUCGUGUUUUGUGGCUGUAGUGCCAUGUUUGUGUCAUUAGGUGGCAGAGAGGAAGAGGCUACGUCGUUGCUAGUGCUCUGAAACCUGUGAGCACUCAGCAAGGAUGAGCAACCUGACAAU